rnacentral:rRNA from 1 species
UACAGAGGUCCCAAGCGUUGUUCGGAUUCACUGGGUUUAAAGGGUGCGUAGGUGGGCAGGUAAGUCAGUGGUGAAAUCUCCGAGCUUAACUCGGAAACUGCCAUUGAUACUAUCUGUCUUGAAUUUUCUGGAGGUGAGCGGAAUAUGUCAUGUAGCGGUGAAAUGCUUAGAUAUGACAUAGAACACCCAUUGCGAAGGCAGCUCACUACGGGACAAUUGACACUGAGGCACGAAAGCGUGGGGAUCAAACAGG